GAGUUUGAUCCUGGCUCAGGAUGAACGCUAGCGGCAGGCUUAACACAUGCAAGUCGAGGGGUAACAUUGUGCUUGCACAGAUGACGACCGGCGCACGGGUGCGUAACGCGUAUAGAAUCUACCUUUUACAGGGGGAUAGCCUUUAGAAAUGAAGAUUAAUAUCCCAUAGUAUUGAGACUUGGCAUCAAGACUUAAUUAAAGAUUUAUCGGUAAAAGAUGACUAUGCGUCCUAUUAGCUAGAUGGUAAGGUAAUGGCUUACCAUGGCAACGAUAGGUAGGGGUCCUGAGAGGGAGAUCCCCCACACUGGUACUGAGACACGGACCAGACCCCUACGGGAGGCAGCAGUGAGGAAUAUUGGGCAAUGGAGGAGACUCUGACCCAGCCAUGCCGCGUGCAGGAAGACUGCCCUAUGGGUUGUAAACUGCUUUUAUACAGGAAGAAACACUGGUAUGUAUACCAGCUUGACGGUACUGUAAGAAUAAGGACCGGCUAACUCCGUGCCAGCAGCCGCGGUAAUACGGAGGGUCCGAGCGUUAUCCGGAAUCAUUGGGUUUAAAGGGUCCGCAGGCGGUCAAUUAAGUCAGAGGUGAAAUCCCAUAGCUUAACUAUGGAACUGCCUUUGAUACUGGUUGACUUGAGUCAUAUGGAAGUAGAUAGAAUGUGUAGUGUAGCGGUGAAAUGCAUAGAUAUUACACAGAAUACCGAUUGCGAAGGCAGUCUACUACGUAUGUACUGACGCUCAUGGACGAAAGCGUGGGGAGCGAACAGGAUUAGAUACCCUGGUAGUCCACGCCGUAAACGAUGGAUACUAGUUGUUGGGCAUAAGCUCAGUGACUAAGCGAAAGUGAUAAGUAUCCCACCUGGGGAGUACGGUCGCAAGACUGAAACUCAAAGGAAUGACGG
rnacentral:rRNA from 1 species